UGAAAAGGACCGAGGUUGGCUAAAGUCGCAACGUCCUGGGGCUCCGAUUACUCGCCCCACCAUAAAGAUUUGUUGCAACGCCGACACUAGCACGUCCUGUGCG
rnacentral:sRNA from 1 species